UUUAAACCUCGAGUCUAAAUGGAUGUUUAAAUAUUAUGAAAUAUGUAUAUUGACCUUUUGUUUAUAAACUUUUGCAGGAAUAUAAUGCAUUUUUAUUACAAUAAAGUUCUGAUCAGCUAAAAACAUGUUUAUUUUUUAAGUAUACUUCUGGAUCUCAGGAAGAUGGAAACAAUCUAGAUCCCACAAACAUAUGCCCGGUUUGUUUCUCUGCACUUAAACCUGCAUAUAUAAAAGGUACUACUGAUAAACUGCUUCAGUGCACUCGAUGCCCAACCACUCAGCUCCUCUGUGGCUCCUGCCUUUACCCCUGCACUUCUGCUGCCUGCACCAACAAGCUGUGCCCCCUUGUCUCCACACUGCUAACCUGUGAAGUGGUCUCAGAUCCAAAGAGCAAAGUGCUUGGUUGUCCAAUGUUCAGAGCCUGUCCCAAGUGUCAUAAUCUGAUUAUGCAUGAAGAAGGAUGCAAGUUUGUAACAUGCACACCAUGCUAUCACCGGUUCUGUUUCAUCUGCUUGCAAAAUGAUUGUAGCAAGGAUAAUGCAAACUACUGGAAUCUAACUUGCACAAAGCCGAGAGCAGAAAGACAGAGAUUUAUGUCACCACAAACGUGAACAGAGAUUCCUCCAGGGUUGGACAUUGUCUAAAAUGCAAAUGCAAGAUUUGUCAAUUGCAAUACAGAAGUAAUCAGUAACAGAAUUAAUUUCACAAACUGAUUCAAUAUACAAAAGAAAUAGAACAUUGCACUGAUCCCAUCUUUCCCCUGUGCUUUGAAUCUAUGCCUUACACCUGAUUGACUUGGUCUUUGGUUAGCAGGAAUAACAACUCAAGUAAACUUCAAUAAAGUAGCACUAGUGGACACUAGCUGAUUUGUAUCCCUGUAAAACGUAGUUAUUAGAGAAACGGAUUGUACAUUAUUUUUCCUAUAACACUGUGCCACGCUACUUCUUUUAUACCUAAAAUGUCAGCAAUCUUAUCACUUAAAACAACAGCUCAUGGUACAAUACAGAAAGAUACAUAGAGCGUUCCAUUUUAAGUAUUGAUGCAUCUAAGGAUUCUUAAUAGC
rnacentral:lncRNA from 1 species